rnacentral:lncRNA from 1 species
AAUCCUUUUUCUUUUUAACCUUUCCCUCACCACCACCAACACUGCUUCUGGGGAAAAUGGUUUGUAAGAUAUUCUGCUAGGCCUCUUUAAAUGUCUUUAUUCUUUGGGAAAAUGCUUUAAUAUAAAGGUCCUAGUUUCUACACCAUUCAGACAGACCUUUUCAGAGUCUCCAGUUUGGGACAAGAAGAUUCAGACCUCCAAAAUCCCAUAGCACCGUGCAGAGAGUCAGGAACUGAACGGACACUUCCAGUGGUGAGAAUGAGCCACGGAAAGAUGGUGCCAUCUCAGUCAUGACCAAUCAGAGAGUGAUGCACCACAACAGCCCCACACGGAAGCCUGGGAGGCAGAGGGAUGGGACUCCAGACCUGAGCCCACACAGCUGUGCUUUAAGCAGUAAGCCAAGCCAAGAAUGGGGAGGUGAAGAGGAGCUGGAACAGACCCAAGGAGCGAGAGCUGAAGCAGCUGGGCCAGGAACGACUGGGGAACCUGGAGGAAGUCUGGGAGAGGUCCAGGUUCAGCAGGCCUGGAUUCCCAACCACAAAGGGCCAGGGUCACAAGGGACCUCUAGUAAGCCAGGAGGCAAAGCACAUGAAGACGGCAGAGACCCUGACAGC